AUGGCACUACGAUUUGGCAUAUUACUUGCACAACAGGCGGGAGGCAACCAUCUUGUUGUUAACUCCGACAAUAUGGAAGUAAUUGACAUAAGGAAGAAUGGAGGACAUUCAGCGGGAGCGACGGCUGAUAUGUUUGAUGAUUGUUAUUUUAUGGCUUGUGGUUUCUCGUCAAUUAGAUUUGAACAUUGUAAUAAAGAGGCAAAUUAAGCUCAUGAAAUUGCUAGAUUAGCUAAAUUUUCUGAGACAAGGGAUUGGUUCGAGGAACCUAUGAAUGAUAUUGUAAUUUUUUUAUAG
rnacentral:rRNA from 1 species